rnacentral:rRNA from 1 species
GAAGAAAGAGGGAGGAGGGAGGAACACAGGCAAGUCGAACGGAAAGGCCCUGCUUUUGUGGGGUGCUCGAGUGGCGAACGGGUGAGUAACACGUGAGUAACCUGCCCUUGACUUUGGGAUAACUUCAGGAAACUGGGGCUAAUACCGGAUAGGAGCUCCUGCUGCAUGGUGGGGGUUGGAAAGUUUCGGCGGUUGGGGAUGGACUCGCGGCUUAUCAGCUUGUUGGUGGGGUAGUGGCUUACCAAGGCUUUGACGGGGAGCCGGCCUGAGAGGGUGACCGGCCACAUUGGGACUGAGAUACGGCCCAGACUCCUACGGGAGGCAGCAGUGGGGAAUAUUGCACAAUGGGCGGAAGCCUGAUGCAGCAACGCCGCGUGCGGGAUGACGGCCUUCGGGUUGUAAACCGCUUUCGCCUGUGACGAAGCGUGAGUGACGGUAAUGGGUAAAGAAGCACCGGCUCCCUACGUC